UAGAUCCUACGGGGGGCAGCAGUGGGGAAUAUUGCACAAUGGGGGGAACCCUGAUGCAGCGACGCCGCGUGGGUGAAGAAGUCAUUCGUGACGUAAAGCCCUAUCAGCAGGGAAGAACAAUGACGGUACCUGACUAAGAAGCACCGGCUAAAUACGUGCCAGCAGCCGCGGUAAUACGUAUGGUGCAAGCGUUAUCCGGAUUUACUGGGCGUAAAGGGAGCGCAGGCGGCGCGUUAAGCCUGGUGUGAAAGCCCGCGGCCCAACCGCGGGACUGCAUUGGGAACUGGCGCG
rnacentral:rRNA from 1 species